GAAUCUCAACAUGGAGUAAUGACAGAAGACUGAGCUGUUUAUGUUUAUGUUUAUGUUUUAACUCAACUUUUCACUAUUUCAAGUUGUGUAAUGACUGUUGGUGUUUUGGUAAUAUUUUGGUGUAAUGUUAACCUGCAAACAUAGCACUUUAUGUGCAUUAUAGUGACGUAGGUUCUAAUGAAGCAUAUCACAAGUGCAAUAUUUUGGUGUAAUGUUAUCCUGCAAAUAUAGCACUUUAUGUGCAUUAUUCUGAUGUAGGUUUCUAAUGAAGCAUAGCACAGUAUAUGCAAUAUUUUGGUGUAAUGUUUUGUUCAAACAAAGCACUGUAUGUGCAUUAUUGUAUAAUGACUAAUGUUCUUCUCAUUAUUGUGUAAUUAACAUCUUAGAUUGCAAGUUAAUUAGAUAGAUAAGAAAAAUUUGACAGAAAAGCAAAAUUCAUUAAUAGAGAUGAAAUCUCAAUUGUGAUUACCUUUGACCAAAACACAAAAGGAUAAACUUAGAUGAACUAAACUAGAAUUACAUCAACUUAAAGACAACUAAAAAAAAGAUCCAUGACAACACAAGUCCAAUAAUCAGUCCUGAGCUUUUCUUCCUUUCAUAUUGCAGCUUCUUCUUUGUUCUCAUAUGCUUCUUUGAGGCAUGUUCCUUGCCUAACUCCUUUCCAAAUUCAAUUCUAAUUUCCUUUCCAAUGUCUUUGCCAAAUUCCCUAAGGUGUUCAGACAACAAUACACACUUAUUGCAACCAACUACAACAUUUGAAGACAGAUUAUCAAUGUUGUUCGAGC
rnacentral:lncRNA from 1 species